CACUUCAGACUCGGGGACGCAGGACUGGAUCUCCUUCCAGAGCAUGACGUGGAAGUCUCUCUGUCCAACAACUUCCUGCGGGCCGGGGGGAGCUGGAAGGUGGAGAAGGAGUUCAUCAUCCUCGAGGGGACCUUUGAUCUGAGGUUGGACAUCUCCAUCUCUGCUUCUCUGAGAUUGGGCAAGGAUCAGGCCGGGCGGCCCACCGCCUCCGUGGUCCAGUGCAGCAACUCCAUCGGCCACGUCAGCAUUGACACCUCUGGAAGCUUAAGCUGGAUAUUCAAUCUCUUCCAUGAAAAAAUUGAACAUGGUAUCAAGAGUCUCUUGG